GCCGCUCUAGCUCAGCUGGUAGAGCACCGCAUUCGUAAUGCGGUGGUCGUGGGUUCGAUCCCCAUGGGCGGCUCCA
rnacentral:tRNA from 1 species